UACGUAGGCAGCGAGCGUUGUUCGGAAUUACUGGGCGUAAAGCGUGCUCAGGCGGUUUUGUAAGUCUGUCGUGAAAUCCCCGGGCUUAACCUGGGAAUGGCGAUGGAGACUGCAAGGCUAGAAUCUGGCAGAGGGGGGUAGAAUUCCACGUGUAGCAGUGAAAUGCGUAGAGAUGUGGAGGAACACCGAUGGCGAAGGCAGCCCCCUGGGUCAAGAUUGACGCUCAUGCACGAAAGCGUGGGGAGCAAACAGG
rnacentral:rRNA from 1 species